rnacentral:rRNA from 1 species
AUGAAGCCGGAAUUGCUAGUAAUGGCAGGUCAGCAUACUGCCGUGAAUACGUUCCCGGGCCUUGUACACACCGCCCGUCACACCAUGAGAGUUGGGAAUACCCGAAGUCUGUGAGCUAACUUUUAGAGGCAGCAGUCGAAGGUAGAAUCAAUGAUUGGGGUGAAGUCGUAACAAGGUACC